rnacentral:rRNA from 1 species
UACGAGGGGGGCAAAUGUUGUUCGGAAUCACUGGGCGUAAAGGGAGCGUAGGCGGGUUUCUAAGUCAGGUGUUUAAAUCCCGGGGCCCCAACCCCGGACAGGCACUUGAAACUGGGGAAUCUUGAAUAGUGGAGAGGUCAGUGGAAUUGGGGGUGGUAGCGGUGGAAUGCGUAGAGAUCCCCAAGAACACCAGUUGCGAAGGCGGCUGACUGGACACAUAGUUGACGCUGAGGCUCGAAAGCAUGGGGAGCAAACAGG